AAGACAAUAUCGUGUUUCUACUCUCACUCUCUUUUAAAAAAAAUACUUUAAAAAUUACACGUUUUGGGAGUUCCCAUCGUGGCUCAUUGGAAGCGACUCCGACUAGCAUUCAUGAGGACGCAGGUUCAUUCCCUGGCCUCACUCAGUGGGUUAAAGAUUUGGUGUUGGCAUGAGCUGUGAUGUAGGUCACAGACAUGGCUCGGAUCCUGUGUUGCUGUGGCUGUGGCGUAUGCCAGUAGAUACAGCUCUGAUUUGACCCCUAUGCUGGGACCCUUCAUAUGCUAUAAGUGUGGCCCUGAAAAGAAAAAAGGAAAAAAAGAUAAAAGUAAAAAUUAAAAUUAAAAAAUUACAGAUUUUAGUGAAUUGUCUUAAUGGUCCAUGAUGUAGUCAGGAUACAACAGUCUAUUCCAAGCAAUGACUUGUGUUUUAUGUAAUCAGUCUGUGGGAUGUUGUCUACACCAACCACUUCCUAUCUGUUUAAUAAUAAAGAGAAUGCUUUUAUGUAAAUCAUCAGCAAAAUCCUGAUGCUCUAAGAAGACGUAGCACACUUCCCUUGUGACUUUGUCUACCUACCUGACCCUCCAUUAUCCCUAUAUAAGGGGCAAUAACAUAUUUCAUCUGGAAUCCUUCAAGAUCAUAAGCAGCUUGAAUCUGGGUCAAAAGUUCUCCUGUCAGUUAGAACGGCACUCUGAGCAAGACACACUCAGUUCAAGUCCUUGGAUUGCACUUGAGGGAAUCAUGUGCUUGUAGUCAGCCAGUAGUUUUUAGUACACAGUUUGUGUAGGGAUUGUGACUAAUAAAAAGAUUAACAUCUUAUAAGGGGGUUAAGACACAUCCUGACAUUGGAGCAAAGCAUAGAUCCUUUUACUUUGUGAAAGAGUUUCCUAGCACAGACUCAAAAGGAAGUAGAGUAGUGAAAGUUCACCAUAGAUAUGGAGAACCUUUCAAAGGGACACAACAUAUGACUGUCUUAUGUCCCUACUGAGAGGAGGAACCUUGAUGAUAGGUGCCAGGCCAGAGUGGGAUCCCAUAAGAUGCCCAACAGUACUGAAGUGAACACACACAUCCAUCUUCUUAAAAGCACCCACACCCAGAACUGUUGAAAGUCCUGUUGCCUCCUACAGUCAAGCCAGCUCCUCCCACAGUCAACCUUGGGUCAGUCACAUCCUGUCUCCUUGUCUGCCUCCUCGAUUCCUGAAUUUGGCUCCCAUUGCCCUGACUUGGCUUCUGAUGGAUGAGAUAUUGGCUCUGCUCCUCUUGGGUGGCGUCCAAGGUGUGCACCCAGGUGUUUUGGUACAACAUGUUCCCUGAUUUGGAGCGUGCUGGUCCAUGUCCAGGAAUAGCCCUGGAAUGGCUAUAAUCUUUAUCAAUGGAGAGUGUUAAAGCUGUGAAUGCUUUUUCUGGGUGUGAACUGGUGGUCCCCUUUUAGGACUAGACCCAGCUUUUUGGAGCUCCACAAUUAAUGACACCUGGGAAGACUUCCUGAGCUGUUUGGCUUCAAGGGAGAGGGAGGGAGCUGGGUGGAGACGAAAGAAGGAGGAAGACAGUGGAUGGAUUUCUGCAAUAACUUCCCUGUAUUUUCCUCACUGCAGUGCCAAUGGGUAACCUUUGUAAUAUCCCAUGUGCCAGUGCUGGUACAGCUAUCAAAGGAGGGCAGUCCCUAUUCUCACAGACUCAGUUUAUAGAAGCUGAGAAGGAAACAAAAUCUAACACAAAAAAUAAAAUCAACCUAAUUCUAAUUUCAGUUGUAACUUACCAUAAUAUCUUCUCUUAUUUUGAAUAUAUUUUCUAUAAAUUUUGGUGUGUAGGUGAGAUUCUAGGUUCAUUGCAUUUUAUUUCACUCUUUAUGACAAGGUCUGUGGUGACUUGUGAAGAGCUCGUGAAUAGUGACUUUAGUUUGAUGUUAUCUCCGUAUGCAAACAUUUUCUAAAAUGUUUUAUGCACACUUAACCUGGAUAAUUUUGGCAGCUUCUUUGCCCCUUGGGGAACCAGUACAGCUUGAUUCAUGCCCCCAGUUGCAUGGUCUGAAGCAGUUCACUCCCUGCCUUAUGAUUUCUGUAAACUCCAAAUCCUGCUUCCCUAUCAUCUUAGGUCAAAUACCCAUCCUUUUGCAUGGAAGAAACCUAUUCCCCAGCAAUGUGUCUGGAACUGGAGUUUCUUUGGUUGGGAGGCCUUGUACCAGCGACUCAUUGGGUUAGUAGUGCUGGUCCAAGCACCUGAAAUGUUACUGAGAGAACACACCAUGAACGGCCUUGACAAUGGGUCUAUGUCACUGCUGCCUUCAUUUCCUUGCCUACACGGGAAAUCUCUUGUUAGCUGUGUUCUGUUCAGUGGAAAAUGUCCACCCCACAUAAAGAUGGCUAAUCAUUCUCCAUUUCAGGAGGUGUUCAAUACUUGGGAAUAGGAUGCCAGAGGGCAUUUUUGCUGUCAGCACGCAAGGGUAAAUGCUAGAUCACGUCAAGACAUUUAAACUAGAACAACGUGAGAGCUGGAAAGAAAUUUAGAGUCAGUAUUUUGGGUAGUUCUUAAAAUACAGGUUUGAAUUCAUAUGAUCUGAGGAAGAAUUUCUCAAUUCCAUGUUUCAAGUCUCAACCCAAAUUUGAUUCAGUUGGUUUGGAGUAGGACCCUGGUAACUACCCUUUAAAAAAAAAAAAAGAUUUGAAAGAUUUGUAGGUGAUUUUGUUUCAUACUCCAUUCCAAAUCACUUAAUGGUUAAACACCCCUCACUCCAGAGAUGAAACUGGAUACCUAAGGAAUGAAAUGACUUCACUAAAAUCACACGAGCUGAUACAGUGAACCGCUGCAUGCUAGGGGGCCCCAUGAGAUGGGGCAGCCUGUCCAGCCCUCGACCCUACUUCCAGCACUGUCCUGCUCAUAGCAGAUGUACCCUGAUAGGAGAAAGGGGGUCACACAGCUGGUAUGUGUCUGAACUUUGCUGAGAAUGUUGGGAAAGGCAGAGCCAAAUGGAAAGGCAGCUGUUGGAGUUCCCAUCGUGGCGCAGUGGUUAACGAAUCUGACUAGGAACCAUGAGGUUGUGGGUUUGAUCCCUGGCCUUGCUCAGUGGGUUAAAGAUCUGGCAUUGCUGUGGCUCUGGUGUAGGCUGGUGGCUACAGCUCCAAUUGGGCCCCUAGCCUGGGAACCUCCAUAUGCUGUGGGAAGGGGCCCUAGAAAAGGCAAAAAAACAAAAAAAAAAAAAAAA
ensembl:lncRNA